AACGGCGAGUGAAGCGGCAACAGCUCAAAUUUGAAAUCUGGCCUCUUUGGGGUCCGAGUUGUAAUUUGUAGAGGAUGUUUCGGGUACCGCCUCGGUUUAAAUUUCUUGGAACAGAAUGUCAAAGAGGGUGAGAAUCCCGUCUUGGACCGGCGGUAGGGCCCAUGUGAAACUCCUUCGACGAGUCGAGUUGUUUGGGAAUGCAGCUCAAAAUGGGUGGUAAAUUUCAUCUAAAGCUAAAUAUUGGCCAGAGACCGAUAGCGCACAAGUAGAGUGAUCGAAAGAUGAAAAGCACUUUGAAAAGAGAGUUAAACAGUAUGUGAAAUUGUUGAAAGGGAAGCGCUUACAACCAGACUUGCGCGCGGCGGUUCCCCCUUCCUUUUGGUUGGGCUACUCCGUCGUGUCCAGGCCAACAUCGGUUCUGGGGGUCGGUUAAAGACCCUGGGAAUGUAUCUACCCUUCGGGCGUAGACUUAUAGCCCAGGGUGUCAUGCGGCCUCCCGGGACCGAGGAACGCGCUUCGGCUCGGAUGUUGGCGUAAUGGUUGUCAGCGACCCGUCUUGAAACACGGACCAAGGAGUCUAACAUCUAUGCGAGUGUUUGGGUGUCAAACCCGGAACGCGAAAUGAAAGUGAACGGAGGUAGGAAGCCUUGAGGCUGCACUAUCGACCGAUCCUGAUGUCUUCGGAUGGAUUUGAGUAAGAGCAUAGCUGUUGGGACCCGAAAGAUGGUGAACUAUGCCUGAAUAGGGUGAAGCCAGAGGAAACUCUGGUGGAGGCUCGCAGCGGUUCUGACGUGCAAAUCGAUCGUCAAAUUUGGGUAUAGGGGCGAAAGACUAAUCGAACCAUCUGGUAGCUGGUUCCUGCCGAAGUUUCCCUCAGGAUAGCAGUAACGUUUUCAGUUUUAUGAGGUAAAGCGAAUGAUUAGAGGCCUUGGGGUUGAAACAACCUUAACCUAUUCUCAAACUUUAAAUAUGUAAGAAGUCCUUGUUGCUUAAUUGAACGUGGACAUUUGAAUGUAUCGUUACUAGUGGGCCAUUUUUGGUAAGCAGAACUGGCGAUGCGGGAUGAACCGAACGUGAGGUUAAGGUGCCGGAAUGUACGCUCAUCAGACACCACAAAAGGUGUCAAUGCAUCCAGACAGCCGGACGGUGGCCAUGGAAGUCGGAAUCCGCUUAGGAGUGUGUAACAACUCACCGGCCGAAUGCAUUGGCCCUGAAAAUGGAUGGCGCUUAAGCGUGCUACCUAUACCUCGCCGUCAGGGUUGACAUGAUGCCCUGACGAGUAGGCAGGCGUGGAGGUCCGUGA
rnacentral:rRNA from 1 species